rnacentral:snoRNA from 1 species
CGCGUAUGAUGAACCAAUCUAUUCAGUUCUGCUUCCGAAGGGGAGGGUUUCCCCAUUGUGGACACCGAAUAUACCAAAAACUCUCAAUCCUGAUUC